GGAGAGAUGACCGAGUGGUUGAAGGUGCACGCCUGGAAAGCGUGUGUACGGUAACCCGUACCAAGGGUUCGAAUCCCUUUCUCUCCGCCA
rnacentral:tRNA from 1 species